AUUGAACGCUGGCGGCAGGCCUAACACAUGCAAGUCGAACGAGUGGCGGACGGGUGAGUAAUGUCUGGGAAACUGCCUGAUGGAGGGGGAUAACUACUGGAAACGGUAGCUAAUACCGCAUACCAUCAGAUGUGCCCAGAUGGGAUUAGCUAGUAGGUGGGGUAACGGCUCACCUAGGCGACGCUCCCUAGCUGGUCUGAGAGGAUGACCAGCCACACUGUAACGACGACACGGUCCAGACUCCUACGGGAGGCAGCAGUGGGGAAUAUUGCACAAUGGGCGCAAGCCUGAUGCAGCCAUGCCGAGUGUAUGAAGAAGGCCGUCGGGUUGUAAAGUACUUUCAGCGGGGAGGCGUUACCCGCAGAAGAAGCACCGGCUAACUCCGUGCCAGCAGCCGCGGUAAUUC
rnacentral:rRNA from 1 species